rnacentral:rRNA from 1 species
CCUGGCUCAGAUUGAACGCUGGCGGCAUGCCUUACACAUGCAAGUCGAACGGCAGCACGGGAGCUUGCUCCUGGUGGCGAGUGGCGAACGGGUGAGUAAUAUAUCGGAACGUACCCUAGAGUGGGGGAUAACGCAGCGAAAGUUGCGCUAAUACCGCAUACGAUCUACGGAUGAAAGUGGGGGAUCGCAAGACCUCAUGCUCAUGGAGCGGCCGAUAUCUGAUUAGCUAGUUGGUGGGGUAAAGGCCUACCAAGGCAUCGAUCAGUAGCUGGUCUGAGAGGACGACCAGCCACACUGGAACUGAGACACGGUCCAGACUCCUACGGGAGGCAGCAGUGGGGAAUUUUGGACAAUGGGCGCAAGCCUGAUCCAGCAAUGCCGCGUGAGUGAAGAAGGCCUUCGGGUUGUAAAGCUCUUUUGUCAGGGAAGAAACGGUGAGGGCUAAUAUCCUUUGCUAAUGACGGUACCUGAAGAAUAAGCACCGGCUAACUACGUGCCAGCAGCCGCGGUAAUACGUAGGGUGCAAGCGUUAAUCGGAAUUACUGGGCGUAAAGCGUGCGCAGGCGGUUAUGUAAGUCAGAUGUGAAAUCCCCGGGCUCAACCUGGGAAUGGCAUUUGAGACUGCAUGGCUAGAGUGUGUCAGAGGGGGGUAGAAUUCCACGUGUAGCAGUGAAAUGCGUAGAGAUGUGGAGGAAUACCGAUGGCGAAGGCAGCCCCCUGGGAUAACACUGACGCUCAUGCACGAAAGCGUGGGGAGCAAACAGGAUUAGAUACCCUGGUAGUCCACGCCCUAAACGAUGUCUACUAGUUGUCGGGACUUAAUUGUCUUGGUAACGCAGCUAACGCGUGAAGUAGACCGCCUGGGGAGUACGGUCGCAAGAUUAAAACUCAAAGGAAUUGACGGGGACCCGCACAAGCGGUGGAUGAUGUGGAUUAAUUCGAUGCAACGCGAAAAACCUUACC